CCUACGGGAGGCAGCAGUGAGGAAUAUUGGUCAAUGGACGCAAGUCUGAACCAGCCAUGCCGCGUGCAGGAAGACGGCUCUAUGAGUUGUAAACUUCUUUUGUACGAGGGUAAACGGAGAUACGUGUACCUGUCUGCAAGUAUUGUAUGAAUAGGGAUCGGCUAACUCCGUGCCAGCAGCCGCGGUAAUACGGAGGAUUCGAGCGUUAUCCGGAUUUAUUGGGUUUAAAGGGGGCGUAGAUGGUCGGAUAAGUCAGAGGUGAAAGCUAGGGGCUCAACCGUGGAAUUGCAUUUGAUACUGGCGGGCUGGAGUGCAGUUGAGGGAGGCGGAA
rnacentral:rRNA from 1 species